rnacentral:rRNA from 1 species
AUGAACGCUGGCGGUAUGCUUAACACAUGCAAGUCGAACGGAGUUCUUCGGAACUUAGUGGCGGACGGGUGAGUAACGCGUGAGAAUCUACCUUCAGGUCGGGGACAACGACUGGAAACGGUCGCUAAUACCGGAUGUGCCGAGAGGUAAAAGCUUUAGUGCCUGAAGAAGAGCUCGCGUCUGGUUAGCUAGUUGGUAAGGUAAAGGCUUACCAAGGCGACGAUCAGUAGCUGGUCUGAGAGGAUGAUCAGCCACACUGGGACUGAGACACGGCCCAGACUCCUACGGGAGGCAGCAGUGGGGAAUUUUCCGCAAUGGGCGAAAGCCUGACGGAGCAAUACCGCGUGAGGGAAGACGGCUUUUGGGUUGUAAACCUCUUUUAUUGGGGAAGAAGAUCUGACGGUACCCAAUGAAUCAGCAUCGGCUAACUCCGUGCCAGCAGCCGCGGUAAUACGGAGGAUGCAAGCGUUAUCCGGAAUUAUUGGGCGUAAAGGGUCCGCAGGUGGUAAUUCAAGUCUGCUGUUAAAACGUGGAGCUUAACUCCAUACAGGCAGUGGAAACUGAAUAACUAGAGUACGGUAGGGGUAGCGGGAAUUCCCAGUGUAGCGGUGAAAUGCGUAGAUAUUGGGAAGAACACCAGCGGCGAAAGCGCGCUACUGGGCCUGUACUGACACUGAGGGACGAAAGCUAGGGGAGCGAAAGGGAUUAGAUACCCCUGUAGUCCUAGCUGUAAACGAUGACAACUAGGUGUUGCCCGUAUCGACCCGGGCAGUGCCGUAGCUAACGCGUUAAGUUGUCCGCCUGGGGAGUACGCACGCAAGUGUGAAACUCAAAGGAAUUGACGGGGGCCCGCACAAGCGGUGGAGUAUGUGGUUUAAUUCGAUGCAACGCGAAGAACCUUACCAGGGCUUGACAUGUCCGGAGCCUUUCUGAAAGGAGAGGGUGCCUUCGGGAACCGGAACACAGGUGGUGCAUGGCUGUCGUCAGCUCGUGUCGUGAGACGUUGGGUUAAGUCCCGCAACGAGCGCAACCCUCGUUUCUAGUUGCCAUCAUUCAGUUGGGCACUCUGGAAAGACUGCCGGUGACAAACCGGAGGAAGGUGGGGAUGACGUCAAGUCAUCAUGCCCCUUACGUCCUGGGCUACACACGUACUACAAUGCUUCGGACAAAGGGUUGCAAGCACGCGAGUGCAAGCUAAUCCCGUAAACCGAGGCUCAGUUCAGAUUGCAGGCUGCAACUCGCCUGCAUGAAGGCGGAAUCGCUAGUAAUCGCCGGUCAGCAUACGGCGGUGAAUACGUUCCCGGGCCUUGUACACACCGCCCGUCACACCAUGGGAGUUGGCCAUGCCCGAAGUCGUUACUCCAACCUUAGGGAGGAGGACGCCGAAGGCAGGGCUGAUGACUGGGGUG